UUUAUCGUACUUUUUAUGCUGCUCUGCUUCCCUCGCUGCAGCCUCUACUUCCAUCGCUGUAGCAUCUGUUUCUCUCGCUGCCGCAUCUGCUUUAAGUUGCUGCUGGAGUUCUUCAUACUUUCGUUGAACCUCAGCUUCUCUCAAUGUUGCCUCCGCUUUAAGUUGUGUAAUUUGUUCAAUUGUUGUCGCUUGCAUCUGAG
rnacentral:lncRNA from 1 species